GCACCUUUAGCUCAAUAGGAUAGAGUUUCAAUCUUCUAAAUUGAAUGUUGUGGGUUCAAAUCCCUCAAGGUGCU
rnacentral:tRNA from 1 species